CCCGACUGCUAUUUGGGUGAGGAUAAGCCAUGCGAGUUGAAUGGGAUACCUAAAGUUCCCAUAGCAAACUGCUCAGUAACACAUGAUCAACUUACCCUAUAGAGAAAAAUAACCUCGGGAAACUGAGGGUAAUGUUUCAUAAUUGAAUUGGCUUGGAAAAGUUUUUCAAUGAAAGGGAUAAAAAAAAUGGUUUUUAUCUGCUAUAGGAUAGGAUCGUGUUCGAUUAUGGUUGUUGGUGAGAUAAUGGCUCACCAAGCCGAUAAUCGAUAGGGGCCGUGAGAGCGGGAGCCCCGAGAUGGGUACUGAGACAACGACCCAGGCCUUACGAGGCGCAGCAGGCGCGGAACCUCCGCAAUACACGAAAGUGUGACGGGGUUACCCAAAGUGUUCAAUAGAACUGUGGUGGGUGAGUAAUGUUCCCUACUAGAAAGGAGAGGGCAAGGCUGGUGCCAGCCGCCGCGGUAAAACCAGCUCUUCAAGUGGUCGGGAUAAUAUUGGGCUUAAAGUGUCCGUAGCCGGUUUAGUAAGUUCCUGGUAAAAUCGGGUAGCUUAACUAUCUGCAUGCUAGGAAUACUGCUAUACUAGAGGGCGGGAGAGGUCUGAGGUACUACAGGGGUAGGGGUGAAAUCUUAUAAUCCUUGUAGGACCACCAGUGGCGAAGGCGUCAGACUGGAACGUGCCUGACGGUGAGGGACGAAAGCCAGGGGAGCGAACUGGAUUAGAUACCCGGGUAGUCCUGGCCGUAAACGAUGCAUACUAGGUGAUGGCAUGGCCAUGAGCCGUGUCAGUGCCGUAGGGAAACCGUUAAGUAUGCCGCCUGGGAAGUACGGUCGCAAGGCUAAAACUUAAAGGAAUUGGCGGGGGAGCACCACAAGGGGUGAAGCUGCGGUUCA
rnacentral:rRNA from 1 species